rnacentral:rRNA from 1 species
GGGUCAGUAGGUUGGUCGUGCCACCGGUACGUACUGGUCUCACUGAUUCCUCCUUCCUGAAGAACCGUAAUGCCAUUAAUUUGGUGUUGCGGGGAAACAGGACUGUUACUUUGAAAAAAUUAGAGCGUUCAAAGCAAGCUAACGCUUGAAUACAUUAGCAUGGAAUAAUGAAAUAGGACGAUCGAUCCUAUUUUGUUGGUUUCUAGGAUUGACGUA